rnacentral:lncRNA from 1 species
UUUGUGAUUUACCUUACUUAACCGGAUUGAUAUACUGUGAUUAUUAUAUGUAGUAGGUGGUAGCCGGAAUUUAUGGAGACAGUAGACUAUAAGGGGACAACCAAUCAAAUCAUUCUAUACUGAUCCUAAAAAUAUUGAUAAAAUCGGUAGUUCGAACCGAAACUUUAAAAAAAAAAGGAAGAAUUGGGCUAAUCUGGAUGCAGGAAGAAAAAAAGAGAUAAGAAGCAAAACAAUAAUAUAAUAAUUUGAAAUCGUAUUGUAAUUGUUGAAUUCAAAUCAAAGAUUCUGAUUGAUUGGUUAUUGUAAAUCAGAGCAGUCGUCAUGUGGUAGGUGGAUUACAGAUAGAAGAGAAGCCCAAUUAAUUUGCUCAGUCACUUCACCAAUCCCUAGAUCGAGAUCAACUCGUCAUUAGUUCCCUAGAUGGAUGAAUGAUCAUGUUUACUGCCUACCUAUGCGAGUAGCAUGCAUUGCUAACAGAUGAGUUGUGAACACGUUAGGUAGUUUCUGAUCAAAUAGAACAGUUCAAAAGCAAGUUUUCCUCGAGUGAAUUUCUAUCCUGUGUCUCAUAUUCCAUUAGGGUUCGUCUCCAUCCGAAGAUGCCUUGCUGUCAAGCAGUUUCUUUUUAGGAACACCAACUAGAGCGGAUUUAAUAGGAUGUAAAUCAUUUUGUUCAUUCCUUUUAUAGGCGCUCAUGUCAAACUGCAUAGUGAACAUAACAAUAAGAACUGUAUCUUAAGGACCUUCACACUGCCUCAGGUGUCCACAAGGUUUCCCCAAAUUCCCUAAGUUUCUCAUUCGAGGUGACUUUUGGCUUUGAUAUUUCUAAUUAGUUGAUUGUUUUUUUUUUUGUUAAAAUUGAUUUACCUGACCCGGAUUCUUAAAUGGUAUCUUUAUUAUUACGAAUCAUGCAUAUAUAUUAAAUCAAAUAGUAACGCAAUACAAAUUCUAAAAUAAAUAAAUAUAUAUAUAUGCCAUACGUUCAUGGAUCCUUUCUUCCCAGUCGGGAAUUCUAUGGGCGUAGUAGUAUCAUAAAUAUCAGGAGCUGUAGGUGCUUCUAGGAGAGAGAGUCACGGAAUGAGAUGGAGAAAUAGGUACUAAAUCAAUUAUAUUGAGGGAAUCGUUGUGGAAGGACAUAAAAAAGGAACAAAAUUCAAUUAAGUAAAAGAAGAGGUGGUAAAAUUUUAACAACUAUUAUUUUAAAUAAAUUAAGGAAUUAUUGACAACUAUCAUAAUAUAACAACAAGACACAACAUACAUAUAUAUUAUUGGGAAACAAAUUCUUGGUCAUAAUAUUGAAACAUGGCAACAAAUGCUAAAAGAAUAAAACCAUUAGAACAAUUUUGAUUAAUGAUAAUUAGUUCGCAAUCUAUCAUCUCACAACAUCACUUCUCAAUUGAAUUGUCCAAACCAACUUGAGGAAAACUUUUUGAGAACACAAGUAUCCGACGGAUAUAGAUUUUCAACGAUAGUCUCAACUUCAUUGAUUAAGUGGUUAAUCAUAUCUUUCAUUGGAGGAAAAGGAAUACUCUUCAUAUGAGCAAGGAUGUUAAGGAGAAGGCUUAGCGAGGUGAUCUUUCUAUUCGUCGUGAGGCGAUUCACGCAGCUCCGAUCUAGGUUGACGUUCUUGUGGUAUAAAUUGAAUCAAGUUUAAGAUAGUGUUUCACAAAGUGGGGAUCGCAGGACUCAAAGGAGGAGUCGUGAGAUAAUUUCCAAAAGAAGAUUAUUAUUUAAAUUCUAAUUACUUUGAGUGGCAACUUAAAUAAUGAUGAAUGUACAUAUUUUUUAUAAGUCUCUUCUGGAUCAUUUUAAAAAGUAUAUCCCAGAAGAUAAUGUAAUAAUAAAAAUAAACAGAAUACGCCUCUUUUACCGCCACAGCUAACCAUCGUUCGUCAGACAUGGAAGAUGCGCUUAUAGAACUUUCAUGUGACCUAAUACUAUAAACAGAUUUUGAUUCUAAAUCACUUGAAGAAUUCUUGAUUUCUGUGAUGAAUGAGUACCUACUGGUAGCUAAAUCAGCUUUCGAUUUACUUAUACCGUUUGGCCCAACUUAUUUAUGUGAGAAAACCUUUUCCGUAUUAACUUAUAUCAAAGUCUUCGAGUUGUUGUAUCCAAAGUUAAACCUGGAAUAAACCUGCUUUGCUCAAUGCACAGUGCAUAUCUGUCAAAUUAAGAUCUUGAUUCCUUUAUAAACCUUUUAUGUUAUUUGUUUGUGAGUCUUAUUUUUGACUUUAUUUACACCCCAAAAAACAGUAUUUAUAGUAUUGAAAAAAUUCCAAGUAGUAUAUUUAUCGCUGAAUUUGUAUUUACAAUAAAUUCGUUAUAUUGGUUUUUUUUCAAUCCAUGUAGAAAUAAAUACAUUAUUUUUGAUCAAAUAACAUAAAUUA